GACGAACGCUGGCGGCGUGCUUAACACAUGCAAGUCGAACGGAAAGGCCCUGCUUUUGUGGUGUGCUCGAGUGGCGAACGGGUGAGUAACACGUGUGUAACCUGCCCUUGACUUUGGGAUAACUUCAGGAAACUGGGGCUAAUACCGUAUAGGAGCUCCUGCUGCAUGGUGGGGGUUGGAAAGUUUCGGCGGUUGGGGAUGGACUCGCGGCUUAUCAGCUUGUUGGUGGGGUAGUGGUUUACCAAGGCUUGGACGGGUCGCCGGCAUGAGAGGGUGACCGGCGACAUUGCGCCUGCGGUACGGACCAGACUGGAACGGGAGGCAACGGUGGGAAAUCUUGCACAGUGGGCGCAAGCGUGAUGCAAAAGCGCUCCGUUCGGGAUGACGGCCUUCGGGUUGAAAACAGCUUUCGCCUGAGACGCAGCGGGAGUGACGGUACUGAGUGAAGAAGCACCGGCUAACUACGUG
rnacentral:rRNA from 1 species